GACGAACGCUGGCGGCGUGCUUAACACAUGCAAGUCGAACGGAAAGGCCUGCUUUCCCUUGUGGAUUGCGGGUGCUCGAGUGGCGAACGGGUGAGUAACACGUGAGUGAUCUGCCCCCAACUUGGGUAUAAGCCUGGGAAACUGGGUCUAAUUCCCGAUAGGACUGCAGGGUGGUGCCUGUGGUGGAAAACGAUUUUCUAGUGGUUGGGGAUGAGCUCGCGGCCUAUCAGCUUGUUGGUGGGGUAAUGGCCUACCAAGGCGGCGACGGGGAGCCGGCCUGAGAGGGUGGACGGCCACAUUGGGACUGAGAUACGGCCCAGACUCCUACGGGAGGCAGCAGUGGGGAAGAUUGCACAAUGGGCGGAAGCCUGAUGCAGCGACGCCGCGUGGGGGAUGACGGCCUUCGGGUUGUAAACUCCUUUCGACCGCGAGGAAGCCACCUGGUUGGAAGGGUGGUGACGGUAGUGGUAGAAGAAGCACCGGCUAACUACGUG
rnacentral:rRNA from 1 species